CCUGGGGAGUACGGCCGCAAGGUUAAAACUCAAAUGAAUUGACGGGGGCCCGCACAAGCGGUGGAGCAUGUGGUUUAAUUCGAUGCAACGCGAAGAACCUUACCUACUCUUGACAUCCAGAGAACUUUCCAGAGAUGGAUUGGUGCCUUCGGGAACUCUGAGACAGGUGCUGCAUGGCUGUCGUCAGCUCGUGUUGUGAAAUGUUGGGUUAAGUCCCGCAACGAGCGCAACCCUUAUCCUUUGUUGCCAGCGGUUAGGCCGGGAACUCAAAGGAGACUGCCAGUGAUAAACUGGAGGAAGGUGGGGAUGACGUCAAGUCAUCAUGGCCCUUACGAGUAGGGCUACACACGUGCUACAAUGGCGCAUACAAAGAGAAGCGACCUCGCGAGAGCAAGCGGACCUCAUAAAGUGCGUCGUAGUCCGGAUUGGAGUCUGCAACUCGACUCCAUGAAGUCGGAAUCGCUAGUAAUCGUAGAUCAGAAUGCUACGGUGAAUACGUUCCCGGGCCUUGUACACACCGCCCGUCACACCAUGGGAGUGGGUUGCAAAAGAAGUAGGUAGCUUAACCUUCGGGAGGGCGCUUACCACUUUGUGAUUCAUGACUGGGGUGAAGUCGUAACAAGGUAACCGUAGGGGAACCUGCGGUUGGAUCACCUCCUUACCUUAAAGAA
rnacentral:rRNA from 1 species